UUUCGAGUCCAUCCUCCUUCAGGACAUCGACCGACGCGGGAGGACUCGAAAUCCGCCUUGAAUCGCGUCGUUUCGGAGGUUUAAUUCGCCAGUAGAGAUGAGGAACAGGCAGUGCGCGGUGAGGGGAGGGAUGAGUCAAUGCAACUAAUAAUUUAAUGGAGAGAGAGAGAGAGAGAGAGAGAGAGAGAGAGAGAGAGAGAGAGAGAGAGAGAGAGAGCAGAACAGAAGGGAAACAGAAAGAAACGGACCGAACGCGAAUUGUUUGAAUGGAACAAAUGGAACAAGCGCCGGAUACAUUAUAGCGCUUAUUAAAGGCAGGAAUGCGCGGAAUGCUUUGAUGUUGCGUUCGACGUUCGAAAGUGUAUCGCGGACUUUUAAAGCUGUUUUCGGGGAUCCGCAUAUCGGCUUGAGAUGAGAAGGCAGAUCGCCGUGGCUUCGGUGCUGCUGUUAGGACAGAUGAGUGGCUAUUUGUGUGCGUUUUGUUUUCAGAAAGGCUCGUAGUGUUUAAGCAGAAUGGGAUAUGUCGGCAAGGCGGAUGGUUACUUUUAUUUUUGACGGUUAUUUUGAUCACACAACGCACUAACGUCCCGGUGGAUGUACCCCAGUUGUCGCCUAUAAACUCUAUUGAACUCUAUAGACUUAUUGGAGGUCGGUGCAAAUAAGGUUCAUUUCAAGCAUCUACAUUUUUCUUUAGGUUUCUUUAGAUUUAAAGUAAUAAAAUAGGCAUUGCGGUUCAUAAAUAUAGUUUUAAGUCUAUUAUAUGCUGAAAUGAAUGAAUAUAUAAGAUCUUUGGUGUGGAAGAUAUGGAAAUGUUGUAUGUUUUAGAAUAGAAGAGUUGUCAUUUUUCAUCACCGGAGGAGUGUUGACACAAGACUGAUAUUAGAGGGAAUAAAAGUGAAGUUUUUCCUUCUCCUGCCAAAACUUGAAGGCGCUGUUCAUCUAGAACUCCUUAUAUGCACGUCUUAAAGUGGUGACCGUGAGUAGUGGUGCUGAGAACCAUGGAGCACCUCAGCGAGUCAUGCCUGGGGAAGGAGAACUGUGAGAUGGUUAACAGUAUGAACGACACCAAGGCCCCUCCAGCCAAGCUGGCCCGACUAGAACAGAACGGAAGCCCACUAGGAAGGUCUCGUCUAGGCAGCACUGGAGCUAAACUCUCGGGAGUGCCCUUCAAACCGUCUGGACAUCACCUGAAAAACUGCCACAAGAGGGGUAACAUGCUGCCAGUGUUUUGCGUUGUGGAGCAUUACGAGAGCCCCAUCGAAUUCGACAGCAAAGAGGAACAUGCUGAGUUCGUGCUGGUCCGAAAGGACAUGCUUUUCAAUCAGUUGAUCGAGAUGGCCCUGCUCUCGCUGGGUUACUCGCACAGUUCGGCUGCACAGGCUAAAGGUUUGAUUCAGGUGGGCAAGUGGAACCCCGUGCCCCUCUCCUACGUGACGGAUGCGCCCGACGCCACAGUGGCGGACAUGCUACAGGAUGUGUACCAUGUGGUCACGCUGAAAAUCCAGCUUCACAGCUGUCCUAAACUGGAAGACCUUCCGCCAGAGCAGUGGACCCACUCUACAGUAAGAAAUGCCCUCAAGGAGUUACUCAAAGACAUGAACCAGAGCUCUCUGGCUAAAGAAUGUCCUUUAUCACAGAGUAUGAUUUCUUCAAUUGUUAACAGCACUUACUAUGCAAAUGUUUCUGCUGCGAAGUGUCAAGAAUUUGGACGCUGGUAUAAACAUUUCAAGAAGACAAAAGAUAUGAUAGUCGUGCGCCAGCCCUCCCAGCUGGAGGGAUACCUGGGGUCAUGUGUCCUGCACGACAGUCCACGUGCCACCACGUUAGCUGAGAUGGACGGCCUCUCUGAUCUUUCUCCACCCGGAACCAACCACCUCAGCUUCAGUCAGCAGCCCAUCCCGGGCAGCACAGCGGAACAGCCCCCGUCCCCAGUUCCCAUGUCCCACAAUAGUCAGGCCCCUGGGCGGGCUCAGCUCCCGGGCCUCCACCCUGGCCUGGUGUCCACUCCCAUCAGCCCUCAACUGGUGAACCAGCAGAUCGUCAUGGCUCAGAUUCUCAACCAGCAGUACGCCGUUAACCGCCUCCUCGCCCAACAGUCGCUGAGUCAGCAGUACCUAAACCACCCGCCCGUCAACCGUGCGCUCAACAAACCGCUCGACGCGCAGGUGUCCACCAACGCAGAAGUCUCUUCGGAGAUCUACCAGUGGGUGAGAGACGAGCUGAAGAGGGCGGGCAUCUCGCAGGCGGUAUUCGCCCGGGUCGCCUUCAACAGGACGCAGGGUCUUCUCUCCGAGAUUCUCAGAAAAGAAGAGGACCCCAAGACAGCGUCUCAGUCUCUCCUCGUCAACCUGCGAGCGAUGCAGAACUUCCUGCAGCUUCCGGAGGCAGAGCGAGAUCGCAUCUACCAAGACGAGAGGGAGCGUAGCUUGACCGCAGCCUCUGCGAUGGGCCCUGCGCCCCUCAUUAGCACCCCUCCCAGUCGCCCUGUCCAGCCCAGAAGAGAAGAGUGUAACAAUGUGAGACCAGAGGACUGGAAUCCAAGAAUUCCUGUGGGCAUCUCUCCCGUGAAGCCCAGCCCUCUGUCCUCUGAGUGGAACGGGAAGUCUGAGAAUUGUGUGUUAAACAUCAACUCGUCAAUCUACGAUGAAAUCCAGCAGGAGAUGAAGAGGGCCAAAGUGUCCCAGGCCAUGUUUGCCAAGGUUGCCGCCUCAAAGAGCCAGGGCUGGCUCUGUGAACUCCUGCGCUGGAAGGAAGACCCAUCCCCGGAGAACCGCACACUCUGGGAGAACCUUUCCAUGAUCCGUCGGUUUCUCAGUCUGUCCCAAUCAGAACGGGAUGCCAUAUACGAGCAGGAGAGCAACGGAGGACAGCAGCAUCACGCAGACAGACCCGCUCACCUACUGCACAUGCCCACAGACCCCCUGCAGGCUCAUCAACAGCCCUCCUCUCAACUCCAGGCACCCCUGCCCCUGCCACACCCCUCCCAGCCGCCUCUGUCCCAGCAGCCCUUACAACAGCAACAACAGCAGCAGAUGGGACCGAGACUCCCCCCUCGACAGCCGUCCACAGCUUCUCCAGCAGAAUCUGAGGAUGACAACCGCUGCAAGAGUCGCCAGGGCAACCGCAUCUCCAUGGAGGCGCUGGGCAUCCUGCAGAGCUUCAUCCAGGACGUGGGGCUGUAUCCAGAUGAGGAGGCAAUCCACACCCUCUCGGCCCAGCUAGACCUGCCCAAACACACCAUCAUCAAGUUCUUCCAAAAUCAGCGCUUCUAUAUCAAUCACGCCGGCAAGCUGAAAGAAGCGUCCAUUGGGUUCCCCUCCAACAACAACAACAAAGACGAGGGCCUGACGGACUUCAAAGAGGGCGAAUUGUUGACGGAGCUCAACGAGAGCGUGCAGACCAACAGCACAAUGUUCUCUAUUAAAAUCGAAGAGCACCUGGCACCCGAAAUGCACACACUGGGCCAGGCCCAAACUGAGCAGGAGGCUAAAUAGUGACGCUGGCGUCGUGGAUGUCUUUUUUGUGUUAAAAUCUUAUUCUCAUAUUUCUCUCGUUCUCACUGUCUCUGUUCCAUGAGCGAACCUGUAAGACUUUGUACACAAGACUGAAUAAUGCAAAGAGAUGUAGACAAAGGCCUUAAUGAUGAGGUACUGGGUCGAAACACUGCUGGUUAAUGAGUUAUUCUCUUUGAAAUAAAAGAAGAAUCGCUACUUCUCGGGAUCCCCACGACCCGCAGGUAAACCGGGGAAUACGGCUCAAUCUUAUUAUUUGGUUUGAAGAAAUAUAGAUAAUAUAUAUAAAAUAUAUACUGUAUAUAUAUAUAUAUAUAUAUAUAUAUAUAUAUAUAUAUAUAUAUAUAUAUAUAUAUAUAUAUAUAUAUAUAUAUAUAGACACAUAUUAAUUGUAAAAAAUAUACAGUCUUAUAUAUACUAUGCCAACAAAUGCCUUGUACUAUAUAUGGCACUGCCGAUGUUAGAUUAUUUUGCAAAACUUUGGUCAAUGUAAAAUUCUGGAUUUCCAUAGUUUGAAAUGUGAAUCACAACCUCAUUUUCAUUGUUUUUUGGCAUCGUCCUGCAUUAUUUAUUUUUCGUUUCACGCUGCGUUCCGAUGUAAUUACAUUUUUCCAACAUUUUACCAUCACCUGACGCUUUUGUUUUACUGAUCUUUUUCUAUUUAUAAAUGUAAUUUUGAUGGGCAGUAAAAUCAGAAAGUGUCUUAAGCGUUUUAAAUGGAAAUUGUGCUUUAACAGUUGCCUAAAAAAAGUGCUGUAUGUCAAGCAACUCGUGCGAGCUUCACAAUUAAUGUUGUAUGCAAUUUUUACUAUCAUGCAAAUAAGCUUAGGUAAAACGACUAACCUAUAGAUCACCUUAGAGAUGAAAACAUAUGCAAUUUGUGUGAAAUCGAUGUUUUCAAUGUGUCUUCCUUUGGUUAAUGAUCCAAUUCAAAGCUAUUCCUGUAUAAAUAUGAUGUAUAAAAAAGUAUUUCUUUUUUAUGAGUUUAUUGCAAUGAGAACACCAGUUAUUUUGUUACGACUGACUGUUUUAUAAGUGUUUCUCCGUUUCUUUAUGCAGCAAUGUUCUAACUAGGAGUGGUUACUGAUUGUUAAUGACACAAUUAAACUGUUUGUAUUGUACUCCCGAAUCUUUGCGUUAAUGUGAUGAUGCAUUAAAGAUAUCCACAGCGUAGGCUGGAUUUGAAAACGCCAGCCGAGAAGUUCUUGUUGGUCUUUCCAGUAUUAAAUAAGGAAUACUCUCCUGGGUGGGGGGCUGGAUAAAGUCAUAUUAAAAGCACAUUUGAGGGUAAAUAGACGGCGGGUGUUAAGGCUUUGUUAAUGAGAUGAUCUGCAGGGAUUGGAGGUGUAAAACUGUGAAGGUGUGUUGACUUCUCAGUGAAUUCCAGGUAAAGAGCUGCAUAUGGAAAAGUUCUUGCAGACUAACACCCAGAUGGAGGUAAAACAUCAGUGACCUCUAUGUAAUCACAAAUUUAUUUUCCCCUAAACAUACAGUAUUAGACCCAAAACAUCACAAAUGUUUUUUGCAGACAUUUUUAAUGGAUGACUAAUGAAAAAAAAUCACAUGAAAGUAUAUUCUUUCAAGAGUGAAAUAUUUAAUGCUGACUAGAAGAGGAGGGUAAGUUGUGCAAGAUUUUUGUUGUUGUUUAAAUGCAAAUCAAGGAUCGCUCUAAACUGUUUAAUAUAAAUUCAUCUUUUGCAUAUACUAUAUUUACAUGAAAAAAGGCCAUUGCUUUGGCAAAACAAAUUAUACAUAUGUAUAUAUGCAUAUAUAUGCAUGAGGCAGGAGAAAGGAUACAUGCAAGUUUGUACAUAACUAUAAGAUAUAUGAAACAUAAAUACAUUACUGCAGGUAUGCAGAUUGAUUAUUUCAGCAAAAAAAAAAAAAAAAAAAAAAUACAAUUAUUGUGAAAAAAAAGUGGGGAUGCAACAUGAAAAGUUUUUGUUUGUGAUGUUUAAUAUUUUAAUGUGUAUACUAACAAGUAAAAAAAUAAAAUAAUAAAAAAAAUAAAAAAAA